rnacentral:lncRNA from 1 species
UUUUUCAGUUUUCCCACGGAACUUUCCCACGGAGUAGUGGGAAACCUUUUAUUUUAACCUUUUACAAUUUUUCUCUAGUCUUUCAGUAUUUUCCCCCUGUCUCUUUCACGCUGCAGCCUUGUCUCUCCCACGCCGCACGUUUUCGCCCUAUCUCUCUCGCUCCACGCUGCAUGGACAGUUCCGAUUCAAUUCCAGGUAAGUCGACAUCUCUCUCUCGCUUGCUCUCUCUCGCUUGCUCUCUCUCUUACUCGCUCUCUCUCUCUCGCUCGCUCUCUCUCUCCUCUUUUUUGUAUUGAUCCUCCCCCCCCCCCACCAAAAAAAACUUUGAAUUUUAGGGAUUUUAUAUUGUUUUAAACCUCGAUGUAUACUUUAUUGGGACUAGAUAAACAUCUGUUGAUCUUUAAAACUUUUAGUAAUUUAGUAAUUUUUUCUUCUUGAACUUACCAUGACCCAUUUGAUUUUUUAUUCACAAAUAUGUUGUCGUUUUGUUUGUUAGUCUUGAAUGCUUUGGGAUUGUUAUUUUAUUAGUCUUAAUUUUAAAAUUGAUUUACUAUAAUAUUCUGGGUGGGAGGUGGGAUCCAGUUUCUACUGAAUGUAAUUUAUAGUAUAGGUUUUCUUUUUCUACUUUAGUUUAUUACUAAUCAAAAAUGGUUAAACAAUCCAAACCGAAAAACUGUUAUUUGUUUCAAAUAUUUUUUUUUAAAACUGAAUUUAAAAAAACUGGAAGAAAAAGGAAAAUAGGGGUCGGAUUGUGGGGUUUUUAAAUAAGGAUAGGGUAAAAAAAAGGAAAUGGGUCGUUUUACAGUAAAAGAGACCAAACAUAAUGAGUAUGGAUAGAGGAAUGUAAAAGACUCUAAAAUCGCCUUUUAGCUUUUUCACUGUGCUGCAAUUAUUGGAAUUUCAUAAGUCGUUGAACUAAGUGCAAUUUAUGCACUCUCUUCGAGUCUGAGAAGUAAUGUUGUUGUUAAGCAGAUUGUGUUUUGGUGAUACCAUGAAGUUAUUGUUAAACAUUGUGGGAGGAAGUUGUGUUCACACCUUUAAAAACUUUUUCAUAAUUUGUACAUAUAGCUAGCAUGAGUAGCUUAUUUUAAUGUUUCUUUUAUUAAUAUAUACUCCUUUAGAAGGAAAGGGAAUGGGUAGCUACAUCCAUUUGAUUGAAUCAGAUUCUUUUACGUAUAAAUUUUAUUAGUAAUGUGGAAAACUCUCAAGAAUAUAAGUAAUUGACACUGAUCAAUUGGAUUUGUUUGCUUCCUUCAUGUGUGUCAGACUAUUUGCUGCUUUCCUCUUUUGUUUAAGUCUUUUUCAGAAACUAGUUAGCCUUGCCGAAUCCUUCAUUUCAUUGUCAAUUUUGUCCUCUAGUCUUAUCUUUAUUUUAUUAAAUGAAUUUUUUCUUAUCUCGUAUUGUGUAAUAGAUGGAACAAGAUCGUAGAUGGAUGUAUGAUAGAACUAGCCUCACUGAAUCCUUCAUUUCAUUGUCAAUUUUGUCCUCUAGUCUUAUCUUUAUUUUAUUAAACGAACUUUUUCUUAUCUCGUAUUGUUUAAUAGAUGGAACAAGAUCUUAGAUGGAUGUAUGAUAGAAAUCAUCCUAAUCGUGUGGGGUUGAAGGUAGAAUUUGUAGAAAAUGUUAAAGGAUUUAUUGCUUAUGCAAAAACACUUUCUGAAUUCCAUAGUGAAGGAACAAUUAGAUGUCCUUGUGCUAAGUGAAAAUGUAUAAUGUUAUUGAUACCAGAGGAUGUUAAAGUUCAUCUUUAUAGUAAGGGGUUCAGAGAAAAUUAUUAUGUGUGGACCGUUCAUGGAAAGAACUUCAUUAAUUUAACUGACGUAUAUUUUCAGAAUCUUACUGGUUCUGAGAGUAGUACAUUCUUUGAGCAAAAUUAUGAUAAUUCCCAAAUGCAUGAAAUGGUGUCGAAUGCUUUUGGGAUACACCCAGGUGUUCAAUCCCAACAAAAUGUUGACGAGUCUCCCAAUAAUGAGGCAAAGCACUUUUAUGAAUUAUUAGAGCCGGCAAGUCAUCCCCUCUAUAAAGACUCAAUACACUCGGAGUUGUCAGUUGCAGUUAGAUUACUAACUAUCAAAUCAGAUUGGAGUAUUUCUCAAGCGGCCAUGAAUGCUAUAAUAUGGCUUAUGCGUGAAGUUAGUCCGAACAUUAACUUACCCAGUGAUUACUAUAAGGCUAAGAAUUUAGUUUCCAAGUUAGGACUUUGCUCAACAAAAAUUGAUUGUUGUGAAAUAUGUUGUAUGUUAUAUUAUAAAGAUGAUGCGGCUCUAGAAGUGUGCAAAUUUUGUGGAUUGUCUCGUUUUAAGAAAGUCACAAAUGCCAAAGCAAAGAAAGUUCCAAUUAAGAGGAUGCAUUAUUUACCUAUUAUACCUAGGUUAAAGAGAUUGUAUGUAUCACUGAGUUAUGCUCCUCAUAUGANNNNNNNNNNNNNNNNNNNNUUAUACCUAGGCUAAAGAGAUUGUAUGCAUCAAUGAGUUAUGCUCCUCAUAUGAGAUGACACCAUGAAAAUAAAAGGGCGCCUGGUGUUUUGUGCCAUCCUUCAGAUGGCGAAGCAUGGAAGCAUUUUGAUAGGAUGUAUCCUGACUUCGCUAAUGAACCAAGAAAUGUUAGGUUGGGUUUGUGUGAAGAUGGAUUCACUCCUUUUUCUAUCUCUGCUGCACCAUAUUCUUGUUAGCCUAUUUUUAUUACACUGCAUAAUCUUCCUCCAAGGAUGUG